UCUCUCCGGUGCCGAUGACGUCACUUUCGCUUUCCUCAUCAUUGGGCGACAAGAUUUGACUCGCGUGGCGUCGUUGUGUCGCUCAAAUGAAGUCGAGGGUGCGAAAUUGGAGACGAGAAGCAGCGCGAGUGUUUUGGGAAGCUUGUGCUGAAACAGCGACGCUUUCGUUCUUGGCGCACGCGCGAGCCUUUCGGGGAAAUCACGUGACCGCGCCGAAACACACAACGAUACGCGUGCGCACAUACACGGAACACACGUGCAGUCGAUCUGGUCAAGGAGUUACAAAAUGUGACAUUUGUGCUCGGUUGAUGCGCAAGUCAUCAUGAAUAAAAAUGGCGAUCCUCUUUCAAAUGGAGAAAAAUCCAACUCAGUGGUCGCAAUGGGAGAUGAGAGUCGUUCGAAAAAUACCAUUUGUGUCAACUCCUGACGAUUUGCGACUUCCUCGACAUUUGGCAGAUCCACUUGUUGACACUGUUUAUGACGUACGUUGCUGCGCAUUGUAUGCAGAGUCGUGUAGGAUUGCGCAAUACAAUGCCGCACUGUGUCAUACUAGUGUCCCGUAAUCUAGUGUAUUGUGCGACAGUAGUGUGUCAUGAACGGAACAGAGGCUAGGACCCAAAAAUGCAAGACUCCAAAACAAAUGGACAGUUUCCAAAAAGAGAGGUUUAAUAGACGGGCAUAGGUCGGUACACGGGCAGGCAAUCCAAGAAGGGCAACAGUAUCCAAGAACAUGAGGCAAAGAGGCAAGGUCGAUAAUCGGACCAGGGUCAAAGUCUUACUGUGAGUCUGUGACAAGGAAUGCUGGAACGUGACGACAAGACAGGCGCGUUCCCGACGCGUGUGGAAAAAGAAGCGCAAGAUCCCGUGAUGUUUGGCAGGACGACGGUGGCGGCGGCGGCGGCCUUCCUGGACGCCUUCCAGAAGGUGGCGGACAUGGCGACCGGCAGCCGAGGUAGGAGGCGGGCCUCGGCGACAGCUCGGUGGAACUAAACAGCGUCGGAAGCACUGACCGACAUUCAUAACCUUUGUAUUAAUUAAUCCCUAAACUUUUAUUUUCAUGACCUCCCAUUUUUUUUGGAGGGGUGGGGAGGGGUUGGACUUAUGGUACAUUAUUCGCAGGCUAAAGUACUGCAUGUGUUAAUUUGGUGCCAUUGUUUUGGUCAAGGAACUCUUUUGAAGUGAGUUGCGAUACUUCAUUAACACAAAAGUAGUGCUUUGUUACCAUAGAGUGGCAUCUUGGUGCCAAGGAACUAUGCUGAAACGAGUUGAGGGGUUUCCUAUCGACAAAAGUAGCACAUUGAGGCUAUGUAGUGUGCCAUCUUGGUGCUGAGGAACUAUGUUGAACUCAGUUGAGGAGUUUCCUUUGGACAAAAGUAGCACAUUGAGGGUAUACUGUGGCCUCUUGGCGCCGAUAAAUGAUGUUGAAGUGAGUUUAGGAGUUUCAUUUUGAGUUUUUUAAAAGUAGAGCUUUGGCACCAUCCAUCUUGGUGCUCAGGGCCUAUGUUGAAAUCAACUGAGGAGUUUCAUUUGGCCUCUUCAAAACAUUGAUUUUGUUGUCCUGAAGCCACUUCGUAAACCAGUUUGGCAGUAUGCUUGCGGUCAACGUUCAUUGGGACGACCCAAUUUCAUUUCAGCCAAGCGUUAACUUCCUGGCUGAUGUCAAGGCGUUGCUGCGUCAGUAUUUCCACAUGAUGAUCUUUCUGGAGCAAAGCAAGCCCACAACAUGAUGCUGCCACCCCUGUGUUGCACAGUUGGGAUGGUGUUCUCAGGCUUGCACCUUUCCCACUUUAUCCUCCAACUCUAACCAUUCUCAUUACGGCCAAGCAGUUCAAUUUUAGCUUUUUCACACCACAGGACCUGUCUCAAAAAAUGAGGGACUUUGUGCCUCACCUGGGAACUCAGUGAGUUGCUCCAGCUGCUCUCCUACUUUCUCCUCUUCUUUAAUGUAGGAGGGAACUGAUUCAUGCUGCUGCUGCUGCUCAGGAGGUACAUGUUGAAAAACACAAGAACGCGUGCCUUUAUUAUUUCAUAUUUGCAGCUCGUAUCACACCCUUAACAAUGGUGGUAUGGUGCCAAUACUGUACAUUGCUACUCGUACUCAAACCUGGACUAAAAAGCUGCAAUACGACAACAGACGACGUACUGUACUAUUCUGUCCUCUCUGAAUGUGCAGUGAGCAGUUUGGCAGAGAACAAACGGUUCUUCAAAAAAGAGUCCACGUGGUUUUGGACGCACCAGUUGAAGUUGACAGUCAAACGAAGCGCCUCACCUGAGAACUCGGUGAGCCGCUCCAGCUCUUUUCCUGCAUGCUCCUCGCCCUCCUCCUCCUCUUCUUCUUUAACACGGAGGGGCUCCGGUUCAUGCUGCUGCUGCUCGGGGGGAACGUCUCGAAAAAUAGUACAACACAUGCUUUUGUGAUUUCGUAUUUGCAGUUCGGAAAUGACACAUUCCAAACUGGAAUCUUUCCAUGGGCAUUAGCUGGGAAUUGACGGUCAUUUAAUGGCGAGCUGUCACUCACAUUGGAGCAUCAACCGAGCCCCGGCACAAACAACGCAAAUCUGCGAGGAAUUGAAAAAAAGACCAAAAAAAAUUGUUGAAAAUUCUCUUGACAUGCCAGAAGACAGAGCACUGCUUUAGUCGAAAUGAAACUCCUCAAUUCACUUCAUCAUAGUUGCCAUAGUUGCUGGCACAAAAGCAGAAAAUUUGGGAGUUUUUCAGCAAAUAUCAGAGGAUAGCACCCCCCCCCCCCCCCCCCCAAAAAAAAAUUAAUGUGCGGGAGCACACUUGCCAAUCUUGAUUUGUUCUUUGAAUUAUUCAAAAUUGGACAAACGUGUGUUGUCGUCGAGAGAGCAGCCGAUUAAAAAUACCGAUUUUUGUUUGUUUUCUACCAUUCACCGAGAGUUGUAUUGGGCGAAUAAAAAUGGCUAAAACGUGGUUUUAGCUGGCCAGCCCUGGUAGUUUUUAUUUCUCAUGUUUACAAUAUGCGGACUGAAUUACACUAUUCACAAAAAUACACGACGUAUAACCUUUCUGGGUGAACUUCAUUUUGUCUCCAUACACUUACCACCGUCAAUGUAAAACGAAACAAUGUGAUUCAAGUGCGUCGA